UACCGGCAGUUUCUUUGGACAGUUGGAGGGCUUGGAGCUAGACUUUCAGGCCUCUCUGCUCCACCAAGAUCUCCAGGAGGGGAAACCCUGGGACUGAUCAUGUCGCUAUGAGCAAAGAUAGAACUACCUUAUUCUGUAGGGUGGAUGAUUAUAAGCCUCUACAAAACAUUUCAAGAAGAGGUCUUCACUAGUGGUGAAGGAGCAAAAAAUCCACCUCCCAAUGCAGGAGACCCAAGAGAGGCGUGUUCAAUCACUGGUUCAAGAUGAUCCGCUGGAGGAGGAAAUGGCAACCCACUCCAGUAGUCUUGUCUGGAAAAUUCCAUGGACAGAGGAGCCUGGCAAGCUAGUGUCCAUGAGUUCAUACAGUUGGAUGCAAUUGAGCAUAAAAUGCCAGGGGCAAUGGAGUGAUAGAAACUGGAUAUGUCAGCUAUGCUUACGUUGGAGUCCUCUUUGUAUGUGGAUGAAUUUCCUGAAAGAUCCUCCCAGAGGCUGCUCCAGUCACUUUUAACUGCAUCAAAUGGAUCCAAGGGAGAGAAGCAGGAGCAGGAAGAGAAAUGAAGCUUUGAAAGGCGAGUUCUGACCUUCAGCCCUGUGUGCCCUAAGCAUUUUUCUCCACCUCUCUGGCCCUGGAAAAGGUCAGUUUUCAUUCCAACCCCAAGAAAGGCAUUGCCAAAGAAUAUUCAAACUACCGCACAAUUGC